CCUACGGGCGGCAGCAGUGAGGAAUAUUGGUCAAUGGACGAGAGUCUGAACCAGCCAAGUCGCGUGAAGGAUGACUGCCCUAUGGGUUGUAAACUUCUUUUAUAUGGGAAUAAAACGUUCCACGUGUGGGAUUUUGUAUGUACCCUAUGAAUAGGGAUCGGCUAACUCCGUGCCAGCAGCCGCGGUAAUACGGAGGAUCCGAGCGUUAUCCGGAUUUAUUGGGUUUAAAGGGAGCGUAGGUGGAUUGUUAAGUCAGUUGUGAAAGUUUGCGGCUCAACCGUAAAAUUGCAGUUGAAACUGGCAGUCUUGAGUACAGGAGAGGUGGGCGGAAUUCGUGGUGUAGCGGUGAAAUGCUUAGAUAUCACGAAGAACUCCGAUUGCGAAGGCAGUUCACUGGACUGCAACUGACACUGAGGCUCGAAAGUGUGGGUAUCAAACAGGAUUAGAUACCCGGGUAGUC
rnacentral:rRNA from 1 species